GAUAAAUCAUGGUCUACUCAAGAAAACAAAAAACAAUAGAUCGUGGACGCGGUUGUUCGUUCUGCUCUCGCCUCACGAUUAGAUCGACUGAUCUAUCUUCCUUAAAAAUAAUAAAAAAGAUCGAUCGAUCUAUCUCGCUGCCAUAGCGUUAGGACUUCUGCCGCCGGUCCCAUUUCGCUGACCUUGGAGUCGAUUGCCAGCUUGUCGAGGCACCGGAGUAGCGGCGAAUACGGCGGCUGCCGCUGGUCGUCAUCCUUGGUCCGCUUGCUGCCAUCCACCACAACCAAAUAAUUAGGCAAGAUGUGUACGAGGAGGUCCACUUGCAUAGGCAGUGCUUUGAGUUCAUCCACCGCACCGCCACAACAAAUUUUCACUCAGGGGAUCGUUUUCACUGUCCGUGGAGCAAGAAAGAAGUUUCAAAGACUCGGUACAAGGAAGAUCAAAGUAUCCAUGGAUGUGAGACAUAUGAAUGCAUGACGCUUGAGUUUCUUAGCACUCUCUCGCACAAUGUUAGUCUAAUGCCCAAUGCAUACGAGGAGGAGUGAACCACUUUCUGUUUGGACCAAGACUUCAACAUCACUUUUCAAGAGUGGUGUAAUUACUUUGGCUUCCCCAACAAUGAUGAAGACAUCCGCUAUAUUUAUGAGUUUAUUGACCCGUACCCGAGGCAAUCCUUCUACCAGAUGAGUUGUCAUGGCUCAAGGCAAAGAGCCAGUUGCAUUGAGAGUCUUGCUAUACAUCAUUUCUAUUAUGUUAUCACUAACUCGUUGCAGGCACGAGGAGAAGUUUCUAAGGUGAAUGAUGAGAACAUGCUAGUUCUCGGGAAAGAAGCAAACCUUGACGUCGGUUAUUCGCCCAACUUAGGGGCAAUACUUUUGCACCUCGCACAUCAAGAAAAUCAUGCACAAGGAGAUAUCGUGUGUGGAGGAGUGAUCACCAUGUUGGCCAAUUCCCUUGGCCUCAACUACAAUCAGCUUCACCCCAUAGUCGGAAGGAGAUGCAGCUGUUGACCAAGAAGGCCCAGAACCUGAGAAGGUAGAUGAAGAAGAACUCGUCACCGAUGAAGAAGAGGAGCAGCCACAACAAGAAAACUACGCCACCUAUGCAAACCUUAUGUGGAUCUCUGCAGUCUCCAGGGCUCUAUUAAUGAUAUGAGCAACCUCGCCACGUCCCUUCGAGGCACGUCCACCUACAUGAACAUGAGCUUCUCCAACUGGAGCCAAGAAUGGGCUCCUGACAGAUGUCUGCUAGAACUACGUUGGUAUUUCCCCAAAGAGGAAGGGAUGAGGCAGCAUAGCGACGGUAGGUAUUUCCCUCAGUGAUGAGACCAAUAUUAUCGAACCAGUAGGAGAACCUCCUCACACCACAUAAACAGCACCUGCACACAAAUAACAAAUACUUGCAACCCGACGUGUUAAAGGGUUUGUCAAUCCCUUUCGGGUAUGGCGCCUCAAGAUAGGCAAAUAACGCGAGGUAAAAGUGGUAGAUAGAAUAAAUAGAUUGCGGAACAAAUAAAUUAAAGCAAGGAAUUUCUGUAUUUUUGGUUUAAUAGAUAUGAAAAUAAAUGCAAUAGAAAAUAUAUCACAAGGCAAAUAUGAUGAAAAGAGACCGGCGGCUGUAGGUUUCACUAGUGGCUUCUCUCAAGAAAAAUAGCAAAUGGUGGGAAAACAAUUACUGUUGGGAAAUUGAUAGAACUUCAAAUAAUUAUGACAAUAUCCAGGCAAUGAUCAUUAUACAAGGCAUCACGUCCAAGAUUAGUAGACCGACUCCUGCCUGCAUCUAGUACUAGUACUCCACACAUCGACCGCUAUCCAGCAUGCAUCUAGUGUAUUAAUUUCAUGAUAAUACGAAGUAAUGCAAUAAGAACGAUGACAUGAUGUAGACGAGAUCCGUUUAUGUAUUGCAACAUAUAUAGAUCUCAUCUUGUUAUCCUUAUUAGCAACGAUACAUACGUGUCGG
rnacentral:rRNA from 1 species